ensembl:lncRNA
GAUGUGUGUCGGUGUCGAUGGGAUGUGUGUCGGUGUCGAUGGGAUGAGUGUCGGUGUCGAUGGGAUGAGUGUCGGUGUCGAUGGGAUGUGUGUCGGUGUUGGUGUUGAGUGUCGGUGUCGGUGUUGGUUGUCGGUGUUGGUGUUGAGUGUCGGUGUUGGUGUUGAGUGUCGGUGUUGGUGUUUGAUGAGUGUCAGUGUUGAUGGGAUGAGUGUCGGUGUCGAUGGGAUGAGUGUCGUUGUUGGUGGGAUGAGUGUCGGUGUUGAUGGGAUGUGUGUUUGGUGUUGAGUGUCGGUGUUGAUGAGUGUUGGUAUUGAUGGGAUGUGUGUCAGUGUUGGUGUUGAUGUUGAGUGUUGGUGUUGAUGGGAUGUGUGUCGGUGUUGAUGUGUGUCGGUGUUGAUGGGAUGUGUGUCGGUGUUGAUGGGAUGAGUGUCGGUGUUGAUGGGAUGUGGUGUCGGUAUUGAUGGGAUGUGUGUCGGUGUUGGUGUUGAGUGUCGGUGUUGA